rnacentral:rRNA from 2 species
GAUGGAGCACGCCGCGUGAGUGAAGAAGGGUUUCGGCUCGUAAAACUCUGUUGUUAAAGAAGAACAUAUCUGAGAGUAACUGUUCAGGUAUUGACGGUAUUUAACCAGAAAGCCACGGCUAACUACGUGCCAGCAGCCGCGGUAAUACGUAGGUGGCAAGCGUUGUCCGGAUUUAUUGGGCGUAAAGCGAGCGCAGGCGGUUUUUUAAGUCUGAUGUGAAAGCCUUCGGCUCAACCGAAGAAGUGCAUCGGAAACUGGGAAACUUGAGUGCAGAAGAGGACAGUGGAACUCCAUGUGUAGCGGUGAAAUGCGUAGAUAUAUGGAAGAACACCAGUGGCGAAGGCGGCUGUCUGGUCUGUAACUGACGCUGAGGCUCGAAAGUAUGGGUAGCAAACAGGAUUAGAUACCCUGGUAGUCCAUACCGUAAACGAUGAAUGCUAAGUGUUGGAGGGUUUCCGCCCUUCAGUGCUGCAGCUAACGCAUUAAGCAUUCCGCCUGGGGAGUACGGCCGCAAGGCUGAAACUCAAAGGAAUUGACGGGGGCCCGCACAAGCGGUGGAGCAUGUGGUUUAAUUCGAAGCUACGCGAAGAACCUUACCAGGUCUUGACAUACUAUGCAAAUCUAAGAGAUUAGACGUUCCCUUCGGGGACAUGGAUACAGGUGGUGCAUGGUUGUCGUCAGCUCGUGUCGUGAGAUGUUGGGUUAAGUCCCGCAACGAGCGCAACCCUUAUUAUCAGUUGCCAGCAUUAAGUUGGGCACUCUGGUGAGACUGCCGGUGACAAACCGGAGAAGGUG